rnacentral:rRNA from 1 species
AACGCGGCGGCGUGCCUAAUACAUGCAAGUCGAGCGCGGGAAGCGAGYGGAUCCCUUCGGGGUGAAGCUCGUGGAACGAGCGGCGGACGGGUGAGUAACACGUGGGCAACCUGCCUGUAAGACCGGAAUAACCCCGGGAAACCGGGGCUAAUGCCGGGUAAUACUUUUCUUCGCAUGAAGGAAAGUUGAAAGAUGGCUUCUCGCUAUCACUUACAGAUGGGCCCGCGGCGCAUUAGCUAGUUGGUGAGGUAACGGCUCACCAAGGCGACGAUGCGUAGCCGACCUGAGAGGGUGAUCGGCCACACUGGGACUGAGACACGGCCCAGACUCCUACGGGAGGCAGCAGUAGGGAAUCUUCCGCAAUGGACGAAAGUCUGACGGAGCAACGCCGCGUGAACGAUGAAGGUCUUCGGAUCGUAAAGUUCUGUUGUUAGGGAAGAACAAGUACCGUGCGAAUAGAGCGGUACCUUGACGGUACCUAACGAGGAA